rnacentral:rRNA from 1 species
ACUAAAUAGAUACCCGGGUAGUCCACGCCCUAAACGAUGAUUACUCGAUGUUGGCGAUAUACAGUCAGCGUCUUAGCGAAAAAGCGUUAAGUAAUCCACCUGGGGAGUACGCUCGCAAGGGUGAAACUCAAAGGAAUUGACGGGGGUCCGCACAAGCGGUGGAGUAUGUGGUUUAAUUCGAUGAUACGCGAAGAAUCUUACCAAGGUUAGAAUGUUUUUGGUACCGCUGCUGAAAGGUGGCUUUCUCUUCGGAGACCGAUUGCAAGGUGCUGCAUGGCUGUCGUCAGCUCGUGUCGUGAGAUGUUGGGUUAACGUCCCGCAACGAGCGCAACCCCUAUUAUUAGUUGCCAUCAGGUUAAGCUGGGGACUCUAGUAAAACCUGCCUGCGCAAGCAGAGAGGAA